GCGCCCCCCCCAACUGUGUGUGGCUGCGGCGGUUCCUGCACAAGGCCAGCGUGGUGCACCCCAAGGUGGAGUUUCACAUGUGUGUCAGCAUCAAUGGGGCCGUGGCCUCGCACACUUACGGGAUGGAGAGCGCAUGGACACUGCAGGGAGUGAGGCUGCGGGUCCAGAGCUGGCACUUCCUGCUGUAGGA